rnacentral:rRNA from 1 species
CAGUCGCCGCGGUAAUACGGAGGGGGCUAGCGUUGUUCGGAAUUACUGGGCGUAAAGCGCACGUAGGCGGUUUUGUAAGUCAGAGGUGAAAGCCCGGAGCUCAACUCCGGAACUGCCUUUGAGACUGCAUCACUUGAACGUCGGAGAGGUGAGUGGAAUUCCGAGUGUAGAGGGGAAAUUCGUAGAUAUACGGAAGAACACCAGUGGCGAAGGCGGCUUACUGGCUCAUACUGGACGCUGAGGUGCGAAAGCGUGGGGAGCAAACAGGAUUAGAGACCCCCGUAGUCCCUGUCUCUUAUAC